CAACCAAGCAACUAACACUUUCAAUGGCAAUCAGAACAGGAAAGGAAGGAAGGAAAAAGGGUGGGUGGGGAUAGCUGCAGCUGCAGGGACAGGAUGAUAAAGCAGAAUGCCGGAGAUGACGCUAAGGGCUGCAUACACAGUGUCUCAGUGAGUCCCGCAUAUGUAUACACACACACAUGUAUACCUAUCUGUGAAUAUGUAGUUUUUAAUUUCUAGUUCAUAAGUGAAGAACAUGAAACACAGAGGGGUUGAGUAACAUAUUUAAGGUGAGGAAACAGCAGAGCCAGGAUCUACACUCAGGCUGUCCAUCUCCAAAGUCAGGGCUUCCCACGCCUGCUACACCGCACCCCACAACAGGCUAAGAAGUGGAGAAGUGAUUACGAAGGCCAAGAGGGCACUGCCACAGGUAUAUGAGGGAAUGACAUGAUUCAACAGAUGCUUGCAAAAGAUGACUUUGGUGUCAUGCGUACCCCAUCAGCUUUGGGCAAUCCCUACUUCCUUAUUUUCUAAUGAAGCCCCUUCUGGGUUGAGUAGGGGCGGACUUGGUCCAUUUGUAGCAGUCCCCAAGUGUCCCAGAGGAGCUCUGGAUUGAGCCCAGAGCUCCAUCCCUCUGACAAAGGCUCCAGCCUCCCGCAGCCCCCGGGGGUGAUUUAUCAGAGCAGCGUCAACGCCUCUGCUCAGCAGCCUGUGAUCCAAGGCUGGCAGCCCGGGCUGGGGUUUUUAAUUAGCUGAGAGAGGGAAGAGUCAGGCCCUCUAGGAUGGAGAGAAAGAGAGACACCAAGACGGCUCAUAAAUCCAGAUCCAAGGAUCCAGCGGCUGGCGUCUGGUGGGGGCAGAGAGGAGGGAAAGGAACAGACUGACUGGCUAGCUUUUCAGCUUUUUCAUGGUCUCCUUUGCUUUCUGGUUCAGAUACUGCAGGGGGUGGGGUGGGAAACUGUGCCGCCUUUUCCACAGCAAUCCCUGGGGAGGCACCCUUUUCUAGCUUGGCUGUAUGACCAAAAACCAGGGACCCUCAUGUCUGGUUCCAUCUCUACAGCUCGCUUGCUGUGCAGUUUGAGACCAAAACUACACAGACGCUUGCAGGCUUUGGAGUUAGAUGUGAGCUGAAAUCUCUGCUCUGUGAUGCUUAUUUAAACUGUGACUUGAGCGAACUGAUUUUUUUCUCUCUGGAUUUCAAUUUCCUCACCUACAAAGGCAGAAGAAGAUCUUGCGUUGCAAAGACUAAUUGAGAACACAGGGGAUCUUCCCAACCCAAGGAUGGAACCUGCAUCUCCUGCAUUGAUAGCUGGCUUCUCUACCACUGAACCACUUGGGAUGCAAGGAAAACAAUCCAAAUCUGGGCAGGAGGGAGCGUGUUCAGCAAGGAGGUUGCAAAUCUACUCCUUGCAGGGGUCCAGGGGCAGGGCUGGCGCUAAGAGCGCCAGGUGGUUUGAUUGUACCUGAGAUGCUGAGAGCAGGACAUUUUCAAGCUAGAAUCCAUGACUGAGCAGAACACCCUGGAACUCUUCUGUUUCCAGCCUACAUCCCCUCCUAGCACAGCCAAUUCCUCUUGCAUCUUCAUUUACCAUCUAGUGGAGCUCUGAAUUCUUCAAUGACCUGCAAGACUCUCCCAUGCCCUAUACACUUUCUGCACAUCCCCUCUUCUUAAACGUGGUUGGAUCUGUAAAUAUGAUGGGAUAUCACUCCAUGAUUAAAUGAUGUUAUCUGAGAAAACUGAAAGGAUUCUUUUCAGAUAUAAUUAAAGUCCAGAAGCAGCUGACUGAGUUAAUCAUAUAGGAGUUUACCCUGGGUGGGUCUGGCCAAAUCAAAUGAGUCUAAAGAGAUGCUCUCCAGCAGCCCUUGAGGAAACCAUGCUGUGAACAGCCAUGGGCGUGACCUGUAAGAACUGGGAAUGGUCCUGCCCACAGCAGCUACAGAGCAGCCCUGUCAGUCACGCAGGAAACAAAUCCUGCCAAUGACUACCUGGGCUUGGAAGACAGCCUUAAGCCUCAGCUGAGAUCAAAGCUCUAAGCCGACGCCUCGAUUUGAGACUCUGAGUAAAGAGCCUGAAAGU